GACGGGGCCCGCACAAGCGGUGGAGCAUGUGGUUUAAUUCGACGCAACGCGAAGAACCUUACCAGGGCUUGACAUCCCCUGACCGCGUAUGAAAGUACGUUUUCACCCUCGGGUGACAGGGAGACAGGUGGUGCAUGGUUGUCGUCAGCUCGUGUCGUGAGAUGUUGGGUUAAGUCCCGCAACGAGCGCAACCCCUACGUUUAGUUGCUAACAGGUGAAGCUGAGCACUCUAGACGAACUGCCGUUGACAAAACGGAGAAGGUGGGGAUGACGUCAAAUCAUCAUGCCCCUUAUGUUCUGGGCUACACACGUGCUACAAUGGCCGGUACAGACGGAGGCGAAGCCGCGAGGCGGAGCAAAACCGAAAAAGCCGGUCUCAGUUCGGAUUGCAGGCUGCAAUUCGCCUGCAUGAAGUCGGAAUCGCUAGUAAUCGCAGGUCAGCAUACUGCGGUGAAUACGUUCCCGGGCCUU
rnacentral:rRNA from 1 species